CGAAGUCUGACGCAGCGACGCCGCGUGGAGGAUGAAGGUUUUCGGAUCGUAAACUCCUGUCAAGAGGGAAGAAACCUAUUAUGAAUAAUACUCAUAGUAAUUGACGGUACCUCUAGAGGAAGCACCGGCUAAAUUCAGUGCCAGCAGCCGCGGUAAUACUGAAGGUGCAAGCGUUAAUCGGAAUCACUGGGCGUAAAGCGCUCGUAGGUGGCUUUGUAAGUCAGGUGUGAAAGCCCACGGCUCAACCGUGGAAUUGCACUUGAUACUGCAUCGCUAGAGUAUAGGAGAGGGAAGUGGAAUUUCUGGUGUAGGAGUGAAAUCCGUAGAGAUCAGAAGGAACACCCGUGGCGAAGGCGACUUCCUGGACUAUUACUGACACUGAGGAGCGAAAGCGUGGGGAGCAAACAGGAUUAGAUACCCUGGUAG
rnacentral:rRNA from 1 species